UACGUAGGGUGCAAGCGUUGUCCGGAAUUAUUGGGCGUAAAGAGCUCGUAGGCGGUCUGUUGCGUCGGCUGUGAAAACCCGGGGCUCAACUCCGGGCCUGCAGCCGAUACGGGCAGACUAGAGUUCGGCAGGGGAAGCUGGAAUUCCUGGUGUAGCGGUGAAAUGCGCAGAUAUCAGGAGGAACACCGGUGGCGAAGGCGGGUCUCUGGGCCGAUACUGACGCUGAGGAGCGAAAGCGUGGGGAGCGAACAGG
rnacentral:rRNA from 1 species